rnacentral:lncRNA from 1 species
CUGGAGUGCAGUGGCGCGAUCUCGGCUCACUCUCCGCCUCCCGGGUUCAAGCAAUUCUCCUGCCUCAGCCUCCCGAGUAGCUGGGAUUACAGGCACCUGCCACCACGCGCGGCUAAUUUUUGUAUUUUUAGUAGAGACGGGGUUUCACUGCGUUGAUCAGGCUGGUCUCGAAUGCCUCACUUCAUAAUCCGCCUGCCUCGGCCUACCAAAGUGCUGGGAUUACAGGCGUGAGACACCGCGGCCGGCUGAAAUGUUUUAAUAUUGGUAACCACUGCCAUUAUGGUUUCUAGUACUAAUUUGUUGCCUCCAAGCGUUCUCUCCUCCUCGCCCUGUAAUUUUUUUUUUUUCUUAAGACAGAGUAUUGCUCUGUCACCCAGGCUGGAGUGUAGUGGUUCGAUUUCGGCUCAUUGCAACCUCAGCCUCAUGGGUUCAAGCGAUUCUCCUGCCUCAGCCUCCCAAGUAGUUGGGAUUACAGGUGGGUGUCACCAUGCCCGGCUAAUUUUUUUAUUUUUAGUAGAGAUGCGGUUUCACCAUUUUGGCAGCCUGGUCUCGAACUCUUGGCCUCAAGUGAUCCGCCCGCCUCGGCCCCCCAAAGUGCUGGGAUGACAGGUGUGAGCCACCACGCUCGGCUUCCCUGUAAUUGUUGAUUCCACUUUUCCUCUGGUUCUUUUCAAUGGUUCCUUCCUGCUACCCCCCUCCCCCGGCAGCCCAAUGGUUGAGCCCGGCUUCCCCGGGGGAAAC